GAUGAAGAACGUAGUGAAAUGCGAUACGUAAUGUGAAUUGCAGAAUUCAGUGAACCAUCGAAUCUUUGAACGCACAUUGCGCCCGCCAGCACUCUGGCGGGCAUGCCUGUUCGAGCGUCAUUUCAACCAUCAAGCCCCAGGCUUGUGUUGGAGCCCUGCGGCUGCCGCAGCCUCCUAAAAGCAGUGGCGGGCUCGCUAUCACACCGAGUGCAGUAGAUUUCUCUUCGCUCAGGGCGUGUGGCGGGUUCCGGCCGUGAAACCCCCUACUCUUUAAGGUUGACCUCGGAUCAGGUAGGAAUACCCGCUGAACUUAAGCAUAUCAAUAAGCGGAGGA
rnacentral:misc_RNA from 1 species